CUUAAAAUAUAGACUCCUCAGAAUUUUCUGCAUAGACCAUCAUGACAACUGUAUAUAGGGGCAGUUUUAUUUCUUCUGUCUCCUGGUGUUCCAGCUACCUUCCUGUGUAUGCUGAGGUACAGGAGCCCCACGUAUACCUGAAGAGCAGCCAGGUGGAGGUCAGCAACCUCUACAUGGGGGUGUCCACAAAGUCAACCAUCACGCUCGUCAACGGCACGCUCCUGUUCACGCGGUUUCACUGGGGCAAGGUGAGUGAGCCUGUACCAUCCAGGAGCAGUCUGCAGCCCUCAGCAACAGAGACCUAUGUGGCCCCCCAAAUCCCUCCCAUAGCAUCUGUUCAGCCUCUCUCCCUACCACAGCCCGCCCAUAACUCCAUAGAGCCCAGAAAAGCUUGGAUCCUCAGAGGAGCGGCCCAUCUGGUCUGGCUUUGGUCCUGCCUUUAGGGAAUUCCAGUUCCUGCCUGAGAAGGAGUUUCUGGUGAACACAGAUAGAGCCUUCCAGUUAGCAGAGUGUGUGGCUGGUCCACAUAGCUGUCAGGAGCCCAAUUGUGGUUCUGCCCCAUGGCUCUGAGAUCUGUGGAAGAUGGAGCCACAUCCUUGUAUAUCAAAGGCAUUUGCCUUCUGCUUCCCAACUCUCUGGGCCUCUCAGGGUAGCUCAUUUAGUCCGUGCAACCCACUGACAGGUGGUGAAGUCCCUCCAGGGUUGGGGAGGACAGAAGGAACCUUGGGACCUACUGUGGGUCUGAGUCUCAGCCAGCAGUGAGCAUGCUGUCUGGACUCGGGUUCCUCUAGGAGCCUCACACAACAGGUCCACAAAUGUGUCCACCAGCUCCUAGGGCACCAAGCAGCCUUCUGCACAGCAAUAGUCUCUCCCAAACGUGGCCUGCUGGGCCCCAGUGAGGAGCGCCUGCUCAACUUG
rnacentral:lncRNA from 1 species